rnacentral:misc_RNA from 1 species
GAUGAAGAACGUAGCGAAAUGCGAUACUUGGUGUGAAUUGCAGAAUCCCGUGAACCAUCGAGUCUUUGAACGCAAGUUGCGCCUCAAGCCAUUAGGUUGAGGGCACGUCUGCCUGGGCGUCACAUAUCGUUGCCUGAUGCCAGUUUCCUCGUGAUGGGUGACUGUGCAGGGCGAAUGAUGGCUUCCCGUGAGCAUUGUUGCCUCAUGGUUGGUUGAAAAUUGAGUCCUUGGUAGGGAGCGCCGUGAUAGAUGGUGGUUGAGUGACGAACGAGACCCAAUCAUGUGAGACCCCUACCGAAUUUGGCCUUCAUGAACCACAUGCGUCUUUGGAACGCUCAUGACGAGACCUCAGGUCAGGCGGGGCUACCCGCUGAGUUUAAGCAUAUCAAUAAGCGGAGGA